rnacentral:rRNA from 1 species
CCUACGGGUGGCAGCAGUGAGGCAUAUUGGUCAAUGGCCGGAAGGCUGAACCCGCCAAGCCGCGUGAAGGACGAAGGUGCCAAGCAUUGUACACUUCUUUUGUCAUGGGACAAAAUCAGGCGCGAGAGCCUGACCGAGGGUCCUUGCAGAAACAGCAUCGGCUAACUCCGUGCAAGCCGCCGCGUGAAUACGGAGGAUGGGAGCGUGAGCCGGAUUUCUUUGGUUUAAAGGGGGCGUAGGCGGGCGUUUAAGUCAGCGGUAAAAGCCCGGGGCUCAACCCCGGCGAGCCGUUGAAACUGGCUGUCGUGAGAUGUCGAGAGGUAUGCGGAAUGCGCAGUGUAGCGGUGAAAUGCUUAGAUAUUGCGCAGAACUCCGAUUGCGAAGGCAGCAUACCGGCGGCGAUCUGACGCUGAGGCACGAAAGCGUGGGUAUCGAACAGGAUUAGAUACCCUGGUAGUC